rnacentral:rRNA from 1 species
AGCGAACGCUGGCGGCAGGCCUAACACAUGCAAGUCGAACGAACUCUUCGGAGUUAGUGGCGGACGGGUGAGUAACACGUGGGAACGUGCCUUUUGGUUCGGAAUAACUCAGGGAAACUUGUGCUAAUACCGAAUGUGCUCUUCGGGGGAAAGAUUUAUCGCCAUUAGAGCGGCCCGCGUCUGAUUAGCUAGUUGGUGAGGUAACGGCUCACCAAGGCGACGAUCAGUAGCUGGUCUGAGAGGAUGACCAGCCACACUGGGACUGAGACACGGCCCAGACUCCUACGGGAGGCAGCAGUGGGGAAUCUUGCGCAAUGGGCGAAAGCCUGACGCAGCCAUGCCGCGUGAAUGAUGAAGGUCUUAGGAUUGUAAAAUUCUUUCACCGGGGACGAUAAUGACGGUACCCGGAGAAGAAGCCCCGGCUAACUUCGUG